AGCUGCAUAGCUCAGGGGAAGAGUGAGUGAACUUGAACACCUUGAGAAAUUCAAUAAAUUCUAAUAAAAACAUAGGCGCCGGGCUCAUAAAAUUGCAACCCGGAGGUCCAAGGAUCGAAACCUUGUGCAGCUA